rnacentral:rRNA from 1 species
AUUGAACGCUGGCGGCAGGCCUAACACAUGCAAGUCGAGCGAGCGGCGGACGGGUGAGUAAUGUAUGGGGAUCUGCCCGAUAGAGGGGGAUAACUACUGGAAACGGUGGCUAAUACCGCAUACUAUAGGAUGAACCCAUAUGGGAUUAGCUAGUAGGUGGGGUAAAGGCUCCCCUAGGCGACGAUAUCUAGCUGGUCUGAGAGGAUGACCAGCCCAACUGGAACUGAGAAACGGUCCAGACUCCUACGGCAGGCAGCAGUGGGGAAUAUUGCACAAUGGGCGCAAGCCUGAUGCAGCCAUGCCGCGUGUGUGAAGAAGGCCUUCGGGUUGUAAAGCACUUUCAGCGAGGAGGCGUUACUCGCAGAAGAAGCACCGGCUAACUCCGGGCCAGCAGCCGCGGUAAUAC